AGAGCGAACGCUGGCGGCAGGCCUAACACAUGCAAGUCGAGCGCCCCGCAAGGGGAGCGGCAGACGGGAGAGUAACACGUGGGAACGUACCCUUUGGUUCGGAACAACACAGGGAAACUUGUGCUAAUACCGGAUAAGCCCUUACGGGGAAAGAUUUAUUGCCAAAGGAUCGGCCCGCGUCUGAUUAGCUUGUUGGUGAGGUAACGGCUCACCAAGGCUACGAUCAGUAGCUGGUCUGAGAGGAUGAUCAGCCUCACUGGGACUGAGACACGGCCCAGACUCCUACGGGAGGCAGCAGUGGGGAAUAUUGGACAAUGGGCGCAAGCCUGAUCCAGCCAUGCCGCGUGGAUGAUGAAGGCCCUAGGGUUGUAAAGUCCUUUCGGACGGGGAAGAUAAUGACGGUACCCGUAGAAGAACGCCCCGGCUAACUUCGUGCCAGCAGCCGC
rnacentral:rRNA from 1 species